CUGUACCUACGGGACGCAGCAGUGGGGAAUAUUGCACAAUGGGGGAAACCCUGAUGCAGCGACGCCGCGUGGGUGAAGAAGUACUUCGGUACGUAAAGCCCUAUCAGCAGGGAAGAAAAUGACGGUACCUGAUUAAGAAGCCCCGGCUAACUACGUGCCAGCAGCCGCGGUAAUACGUAGGGGGCAAGCGUUAUCCGGAAUUACUGGGUGUAAAGGGAGCGUAGGCGGGGAUGCAAGUUGGGUGUCAAAACUACCGGCUCAACUGGGAGUCGCACUCAAAACUG
rnacentral:rRNA from 1 species